CUCCUCCCGCUGCGGUGCGUGGUGUGUCGGGCGAAGAUCCUGCGUCUCCGGCAGGCUAAGGACGUGCCAUUCCCGACCUCCGUGUCCCAGUACUCCAUGGCCCCGUCGCCGCCUCCACCAGGUGCAUGCCGCAGUCCUCGUCCCUCUACUCCUUCGGUUCCGGUUCCUCGGGGAUCUCAGGUCUAUCGAACGUGAGCAGCGCCAGUUCGAGCAGCGGAGGGUCGUACCGCAGCCUGGGUCGUGGCAAGCUGGGGUCGUCCUCCUCCUGUACUCCAACAAACGACUCCCUCAGUCCAAGAAGGUCUCGAGCAAGAGCGGAGCACGAAGUAAGGAGCCCUUGAAGGGGGGACUUCCGCAAAUCAGAAUUGAUGAGUACCAAGAGCCUCCAUGUCGCCCCCCACCUAGUUGCCGUCCGCAUCGGGUUCACAUUAGAGAGAACAAGG